GGGACGGGGAGAUAGGGAAAGGUAGUUUGUAGGAUGACGGGGAGGGAAGAUGCUCCCCUGAGGUUUUGUUUGGGGUUUUUGUUUAGUUUAAAUUAAAAUACCACUAUUUGAGUUUGUAUGGAAAUUAUGAGUUGUAAAGAAUGAAUGGUAUUGAUGAUAAUAAAUUAUUUUCUAUAAAAAUAAAAAUAAAAUAGGCUGUUUCGGUUUUUCACGUUAUGUUUGUUUUUGUAUAGUUCGUGUUUUUGUCUUCAUUAAAACAUGUAUCAAGAAUACCACGCUGCAUUUUGGUCCGACUCUCCUUCGACGAAGAAAACCGUAACAUUUAGCCUAAAUAUAAGGGCUGGACAUGCAAACAGGUGAAAGUCAAUUAAAUGAAAAUACAUGUUUUGCUGGGUUCUAUGAACUGAUAGGGUUAGGUUUAUCCAAAGUACAGUGUUAAACACUUGUUAUUGUGGAGUAUUUAUUAUUACAAUAUAUAUUUUUUCCCCAUGGUGGCAACACUCGAGCAGUGGCAUAGUGAAGUUGCUAAAUGCAUGUAGCGGGAACCUUUCAUUUAUUCAUUAAUAUAUUUUCCCUUAGUACUUCCUGCUCCAGACCAGCUGACUGUUAACUCAGUAGACACCACACCAGCUGCUGUUAGCUGGAGCCAGCCACCAGGAUUGGACCAAACCCAACAUUACCAGAUCUCCUACCACUGGGACAGAACCACAUCACUACCACAUCUUCACACAGCAUCACUCUCUCUGACCUGCAAUGUGAUACUCAGUACUCUGUUACUGUCUGCACUGUGCUGGAAAAUGGAAAGCAAAGUCAACUGGUGUCCACAACCUUCACCACAGAACAUUUUCAGUGGUGGAAGAGACCCUCCACAGUUGCUGCAGUGUUUGUUCUACUGGCUGUGAUCAUUGGCCUGUGGGAUUCCUGUAAGUCAACAUUGUUUUUUACUAAAACAUUUGUCAAUGUUGUGA
rnacentral:lncRNA from 13 species